UACGUAGGGCGCAAGCGUUGUCCGGAAUUAUUGGGCGUAAAGAGCUCGUAGGCGGUUUGUCGCGUCUGCUGUGAAAACCUAAGGCUCAACCUUGAGCUUGCAGUGGGUACGGGCAGACUAGAGUGUGGUAGGGGAGACUGGAAUUCCUGGUGUAGCGGUGAAAUGCGCAGAUAUCAGGAGGAACACCGAUGGCGAAGGCAGGUCUCUGGGCCACUACUGACGCUGAGAAGCGAAAGCAUGGGGAGCGAACAGG
rnacentral:rRNA from 1 species